rnacentral:pre_miRNA from 1 species
GUUCACUGCUCCCUCCGUCCCAUUUUCACGCCUAACUUUAAUCGUCUGUUUUUUUAUAAUUUAUAUCUUUAUUGUUAUGAGAUGAUAAAACAUGAAUAGUAUUUUAUGUGUGACUUAUAUUUUUAAUUUUUUUUAAAAAAAUUGAAUAAGAUGAAUGGUUAAAGUUGUACGCGAAAAAUUAUGGCUGCAUUCAAA